rnacentral:rRNA from 1 species
AGUGAACGCUGGCGGUAGGCCUAACACAUGCAAGUCGAACGGCAGCACAGUAAGAGCUUGCUCUUACGGGUGGCGAGUGGCGGACGGGUGAGGAAUACAUCGGAAUCUACUUUUUCGUGGGGGAUAACGUAGGGAAACUUACGCUAAUACCGCAUACGACCUACGGGUGAAAGCAGGAGAUCUUCGGACCUUGCGCGAUUGAAUGAGCCGAUGUCGGAUUAGCUAGUUGGCGGGGUAAAGGCCCACCAAGGCGACGAUCCGUAGCUGGUCUGAGAGGAUGAUCAGCCACACUGGAACUGAGACACGUUCCAGACUCCUACGGGAGGCAGCAGUGGGGAAUAUUGGACAAUGGGCGCAAGCCUGAUCCAGCCAUACCGCGUGGGUGAAGAAGGCCUUCGGGUUGUAAAGCCCUUUUGUUGGGAAAGAAAAGCAGCAGGUUAAUACCCCGCUGUUCUGACGGUACCCAAAGAAUAAGCACCGGCUAACUUCGUG